rnacentral:rRNA from 1 species
UAAUUAGUAUUUCCUGCUCAAUGAAUUUUAAAUAGCCGCAAUUUUUGUGCUAAGGUAGCAUAAUCAUUUGCCUUUUAAUUAAAGGCUUGGAUGAAAGGAUCAACGAGUUGAGCCCUAUAUUAUUUUGAUUUCUCUAAAUUUCCAUUUAAGUUAUAAGGCUUAAAUAUUAAGAGAAGACGACAAGACCCCAUCGAACUUCAAAUAAGUUUUAACUGGGGCGGUACAAAAACAAAAUCUUUUUAAAUUUUAAAAUAAAAUCAACCCUAUAAAAAGGAUUCUUAACAAGUUACCGUGGGGAUAACAG